UGGUAGUGGGAUAGAGAGUUUGGUACUCCUUUUUCCCCAUACUUUUUGUUUCUGUUUCGAAUUCCUUGUUUUAUUCUCCUGUGCAAGAACUAAAGAAGUGGAUUCAACUUUUGCUGAACAUUGCUGCUUGUUGAUAGAAUUUUGCAGAGUAGUCUGUUUCAUCUGUUAUAUAAUUCCUUUUAACUGUUGCAAGAAAUUCUUUUGUUCAAUGGAUACGUGUAUUUGAUUCCACAUUUUGCUUAGGGAUGAAAUUUUUAUUUGAUGAUUUGCCUAUUUAUUUGGGAUGUUGUUCCUGGUGGAAUGGAUUCCAUGUAGUUAUUUCCUGAUCAUAUAUUGGAGUUAUCCUGCAUGGUGUGGAUGUCCCAGACGCAAGUAG
rnacentral:misc_RNA from 1 species